CAUCACCAGAGUGUCAUCAGAAAUUACAGUCGUGGCCUCACUUCUUGCACCAGGGACGUCCUGGGUGACACUUCCUGUGUCAGAGGAAGCAUCUUCAUUGCCUUGCUGACCAGAACCCAUAUGGCACACAUUUGCAGUUCGAGUAGCAUGAAGCUGUCCUUGGUGUGGUCAUGCAUAAGGCAUGUCCUAGGUGUCGCUGUCCUUUUUCCAGACUGCUUUCAGCCGCAGACAUCUGGAGCAAAGUCACGAAGCUGUGAUCCAAGAACUUGUCAUGAAAGCAAGAGGUUCAAGAAAGGAAUCCCAGCUCUCCAGUUAUUUUAUUUAAAGGCACAAAGCGUCAC